GGAUGAGCCCGCGGCCUAUCAGCUUGUUGGUGGGGUAACGGCCUACCAAGGCGACGACGGGUAGGCGGCCUGAGAGGGCGACCGGGCACACUGGGACUGAGACACGGCCCAAACUCCUACGGGAGGCAGCAAUGGGGAAUAUUGCGCAAUGGGCGAAAGCCUGACGCAGCGACGCCGCGUGGGGGAUGAAGGCCUUCGGGUUGUAAACCUCUUUCGGCAGGGACAAAGUUGACGUGUACCUGCGGAAAAAGCGCCGGCUAACUACGUGCCAUCAGCCGCGGUAAUACGUAGGGCGCGAGCGUUGUCCGGAAUUAUUGGGCGUAAAGAGCUCGUAAGCGGCUGGUCGCGUCUGCCGUGAAAGCCCGCGGCUUAACCGUGGGUCUGCGGUGGAUACAGGCCGGCUAGAGGCAGGCAGGGGCAAGUGGAAUUCCUGGUGUAGCGGUGAAAUGCGCAGAUAUCAAGAGGAACACCGGUGGCGAAGGCGGCUUGCUGGUCCUGUCCUGACGCUGAGGAGCGAAAGCGUGGGGAGCGAACAGGAUUAGAUACCCUGGUGGUCCACGCCGUAAACGUUGGGCGCUAGGUGUGGGGUCUUUCCACGGGCUCCGUGCCGUAUCUAACGCAUUAAGCGCCCCGCCUGGGGAGUACGGCCGCAAGGCUAACACUCAAAGGAAUUGACGGGUGCCCGCACGAGCGGCGGAGCAUGUUGCUUACUUCGAUGCACGCGCAGAAUCUUACCAAGGUUUGAC
rnacentral:rRNA from 1 species